CCUGAACGCUGGCGGCGUGGUUAAGACAUGCAAGUCGCACGGACGUAGCAAUACGUUAGUGGCGAACGGGUGAGUAAUGAAUCGCUAAUGUACCCCGGACUCCGGGAUAGCUGCCCGAAA
rnacentral:rRNA from 1 species